rnacentral:rRNA from 1 species
AUACGUAGGGUGCAAGCGUUGAUCGGAAUUACUGGGCGUAAAGCGUGCGCAGGCGGUUUUGUAAGACAGUGGUGAAAUCCCCGGGCUCAACCUGGGAACUGCCGUUGUGACUGCAAGGCUGGAGUGCGGCAGAGGGGGAUGGAAUUCCGCGUGUAGCAGUGAAAUGCGUAGAUAUGCGGAGGAACACCGAUGGCGAAGGCAAUCCCCUGGGCCUGCACUGACGCUCAUGCACGAAAGCGUGGGGAGCAAACAGGAUUAGAUACCCUGGUAGUCCACGCCCUAAACGAUGUCAACUGGUUGUUGGGGAUUUAUUUUCUCAGUAACGAAGCUAACGCGUGAAGUUGACCGCCUGGGGAGUACGGCCGCAAGGUUAAAACUCAAAUGAAUUGACGGGG